CACGUAGUUAGCCGGCGCUUCUUCUGCAGGUACCGUCACCCCAAAAAGAGGCUUCGUCCCCGCUGAAAGAGGUUUACAACCCGAAGGCCGUCAUCCCCCACGCGGCGUCGCUGCGUCAGGCUUCCGCCCAUUGCGCAAUAUUCCCCACUGCUGCCUCCCGUAGGAGUCUGGGCCGUGUCUCAGUCCCAGUGUGACCGGUCGCCCUCUCAGGCCGGUUACCCGUCGUCGCCUUGGUAGGCCGUCACCCCACCAACAAGCUGAUAGGCCGCGAGCCCAUCCCCGACCGAAAUCAAUCUUUCCACCCACACACCAUGCGAUGAUGGGUCGUAUCCGGUAUUAGACCCGGUUUCCCAGGCUUAUCCCAGAGUCGAGGGCAGGUUGCUCACGUGUUACUCACCCGUUCGCCGCUCGAGUACCCCCGAAGGGGCCUUUCCGCUCGCUUGCAUGUGUUAAGCACGCCGCCAGCGUCGUCCUCGUGCCAGGACGUCUAACCUACU
rnacentral:rRNA from 1 species